rnacentral:tRNA from 1 species
GCCCCGGUGGCACAAUGGAUAGCGCGAUCCCCUCCUAAGGGAUAGGUUACAGGUUCGACUCCUGUCCGGGGCACCA